rnacentral:rRNA from 1 species
AGGCCCAAGCAACUGUUUAACAAAAACAUAGGUUUCUGCUAAAUCGAAAGAUGAAGUAUAGGAGCUGACGCCUGCCCAGUGCUGGAAGGUUAAGGGAAAGAGUUAGGGUUAAACCGAAGCUUAGAACUGAAGCCCCAGUGAACGGCGGCCGUAACUAUAACGGUCCUAAGGUAGCGAAAUUCCUUGUCAGGUAAGUUCUGACCCGCACGAAAGGCGUAAUGAUUUGGGCGCUGUCUCGACAAUGUCCCCGGCGAAAUUGUAGUACUAGUGAAGAUGCUAGUUACCUGCGAUAAGACAGAAAGACCCCAUGGAGCUUUACUGCAGUUUGAUACUGGGUUUCGAUGAUUUAUGUACAGGAUAGUUGGGAGACUAUGAAAGAGAGGCGUCAGCUUCUCCGGAGUCGUUGUUGGGAUACCAACCUUAAGUUAUUGAAAUUCUAACUUGUAAUCGUAAACCGGUUAGAGGACAAUGUCAGACGGGCAGUUUGACUGGGGCGGUCGCCUCCUAAAGAGUAACGGAGGCGCCCAAAGGUUUCCUCAGCGCGGACAGAAAUCGCGCGAAAGAGUGCAAAGGCAGAAGGAAGCUUAACUGAGAGACAGACAUGUCGACCAGAUACGAAAGUAGGGCUUAGUGAUCCGGUGGUUGUAAAUGGAAAUGCCAUCGCUCAACGGACAAAAGUUACCCUGGGGAUAACAGGCUUAUCUCCCCCAAGAGUUCACAUCGACGGGGAGGUUUGGCACCUCGAUGUCGGCUCAUCGCAUCCUGGAGCGGAAGUACGUUCCAAGGGUUGGGCUGUUCGCCCAUUAAAGCGGUACGCGAGCUGGGUUCAGAACGUCGUGAGACAGUUCGGUCCUUAUCUAUCGCAGGCGUAAGAUAUUUGAAGAGUGCUGUCCUUAGUACGAGAGGACCAGGAUGGACAUACCAAUGGUGUAUCAGUUGUCUCACCAGAGGCACGGCUGAGUAGCUAAGUAUGGAUUGGAUAAACGCUGAAAGCAUCUAAGUGUGAAGCCAACUCUAAGAUAAGAUAUCUCAUAUCGUAAGGUAGUAAGAUUCCAUAAAGACUAUGUGGUUGAUAGGUUGGAGGUGUAAGUGUAGUGAUACAUUGAGCUGACCAAUACUAAUAAAUCGAGGGCUUAACCAC